CCUACGGGAGGCAGCAGUGGGGAAUAUUGGACAAUGGGGGGAACCCUGAUCCAGCGACGCCGCGUGAGUGAAGAAGUAUUUCGGUAUGUAAAGCUCUAUCAGCAGGGAAGAAAGAAAUGACGGUACCUGACUAAGAAGCCCCGGCUAACUACGUGCCAGCAGCCGCGGUAAUACGUAGGGGGCAAGCGUUAUACGGAUUUACUGGGUGUAAAGGGAGCGUAGACGGCGAGUCAAGUCUGCAGUGAAAGGCGGGGGCCCAACCCCCGGACUGCUUUGGAAACUGUAUGGCUGGAGUGCAGGAGAGGUAAGUAGAAUUCCUAGUGUAGCGGUGAAAUGCGUAGAGAUUAGGAGGAACACCAGUGGCGAAGGCGGCUUCCUGGACUGUAACUGACGUUGAGGCUCGAAAGCGUGGGGAGCAAACAGGAUUAGAUACCCUUGUAGUC
rnacentral:rRNA from 1 species